GGUGAACGCUGGCGGCGUGCCUAAUACAUGCAAGUAGAACGCUGAAGGAGGAGCUUGCUCUUCUGGAUGAGUUGCGAACGGGUGAGUAACGCGUAGGUAACCUGCCUGGUAGCGGGGGAUAACUAUUGGAAACGAUAGCUAAUACCGCAUGACAACAGUUAUUGCAUGAUAACUGUUUAAAAGGGGCAACUGCUCCACUACCAGAUGGACCUGCGUUGUAUUAGCUAGUUGGUGAGGUAACGGCUCACCAAGGCGACGAUACAUAGCCGACCUGAGAGGGGGGUCGGCCACACUGGGACUGGGACACGGCCCAGACUCCUACGGGAGGCAGCAGUAGGGAAUCUUCGGCAAUGGACGGAAGUCUGACCGAGCAACGCCGCGUGAGUGAAGAAGGUUUUCGGAUCGUAAAGCUCUGUUGUAAGAGAAGAACGAGUGUGAGAGUGGAAAGUUCACACUGUGACGGUAUCUGACCAGAAAGGGACGGCUAACUACGUG
rnacentral:rRNA from 1 species